rnacentral:rRNA from 1 species
CGAGAAAGCCCGCAAGGGUGAGUAAAGCGGCGCACGGGUGCGUAACACGUGGAUAAUCUGCCCUAGAGUCUGGAAUAACUCGCCGAAAGGCGUGCUAAUGCCGGAUGAGACCACGGGAGCCUCGGCUCCUGCGGGAAAAGGUGGCCUCUGUAUACAAGCUAUCGCUCUAGGAUGAGCCCGCGGCCCAUCAGCUCGUUGGCGGGGUAAUGGCCCACCAAGGCUACGACGGGUAGCUGGUCUGAGAGGACGAUCAGCCACACUGGAACUGAGACACGGUCCAGACUCCUACGGGAGGCAGCAGUGGGGAAUCUUGCGCAAUGGGCGAAAGCCUGACGCAGCAACGCCGCGUGUGUGAUGAAGGUCUUCAGAUCGUAAAGCACUGUCGCGAGGGACG